CCUACGGGGGGCAGCAGUAGGGAAUCUUCGGCAAUGGGGGCAACCCUGACCGAGCAACGCCGCGUGAGUGAAGAAGGUUUUCGGAUCGUAAAGCUCUGUUGUAAGUCAAGCGGUAGCUUACCAGAAAGGGACGGCUAACUACGUGCCAGCAGCCGCGGUAAUACGUAGGUCCCGAGCGUUGUCCGGAUUUAUUGGGCGUAAAGCGAGCGCAGGCGGUUUGAUAAGUCUGAAGUUAAAGGCUGUGGCUCAACCAUAGUUCGCUUUGGAAACUGUCAAACUUGAGUGCAGAAGGGGAGAGUGGAAUUCCAUGUGUAGCGGUGAAAUGCGUAGAUAUAUGGAGGAACACCGGUGGCGAAAGCGGCUCUCUGGUCUGUACUGACGCUGAGGCUCGAAAGCGUGGGGAGCGAACAGGAUUAGAUACCCGUGUAGUC
rnacentral:rRNA from 1 species